rnacentral:rRNA from 1 species
GACGAACGCGGCGGCGUGCCUAAUACAUGCAAGUAGAACGCUGAAGGAGGAGCUUGCUCUUCUGGAUGAGUUGCGAACGGGUGAGUAACGCGUAGGUAACCUGCCUGGUAGCGGGGGAUAACUAUUGGAAACGAUAGCUAAUACCGCAUAACAUUGACUAUUGCAUGAUAGUCAAUUGAAAGGUGCAAAUGCACCACUACCAGAUGGACCUGCGUUGUAUUAGCUAGUUGGUGGGGUAACGGCUCACCAAGGUGACGAUACAUAGCCGACCUGAGAGGGUGAUCGGCCACACUGGGACUGAGACACGGCCCAGACUCCUACGGGAGGCAGCAGUAGGGAAUCUUCGGCAAUGGACGGAAGUCUGACCGAGCAACGCCGCGUGAGUGAAGAAGGUUUUCGGAUCGUAAAGCUCUGUUGUAAGAGAAGAACGAGUGUGAGAGUGGAAAGUUCACACUGUGACGGUAUCUACCAGAAAGG